rnacentral:rRNA from 1 species
GACGAACGCUGGCGGCGUGCUUAACACAUGCAAGUCGAACGGUAAGGCCCUUCGGGGUACACGAGUGGCGAACGGGUGAGUAACACGUGGGUGAUCUGCCCUGCACUUCGGGAUCAGCCUGGGAAACUGGGUCUAAUACCGGAUAGGACCACUGCCUGCAUGGGUGGUGGUGGAGAGCUUUUGCGGUGUGGGAUGGGCCCGCGGGCUAUCAGCUGGUUGGUGGGGGGAUGGCCUACCAAGGCGACGACGGGUAGCCGGCCGGAGAGGGUGACCGGCCACACUGGGACUGGGAUACGGCCCAGACUCCUACGGGAGGCAGCAGUGGGGAAUAUGGCACAAUGGGCGCAAGCCUGAUGCAGCGACGCCGCGUGAGGGAUGACGGCCUUCGGGUUGUAAACCUCUUUCAGUAGGGACGAAGCGCAAGUGACGGUACCUACAGAAGAAGGACCGGCCAACUACGUGCCAGCAGCCGCCGUAA